rnacentral:rRNA from 1 species
UACAGAGGGUGCAAGCGUUAAUCGGAAUUACUGGGCGUAAAGCGUGCGCAGGCGGUUUUGUAAGUCUGUCGUGAAAUCCCCGGGCUUAACCUGGGAAUGGCGAUGGAGACUGCAAGGCUAGAGUUUGGCAGAGGGGGGUAGAAUUCCACGUGUAGCAGUGAAAUGCGUAGAGAUGUGGAGGAACACCGAUGGCGAAGGCAGCCCCCUGGGUCAAAACUGACGCUCAUGCACGAAAGCGUGGGGAGCAAACAGG